rnacentral:rRNA from 1 species
UUGGGGAAUAACAGUCGGAAACGACUGCUAAUACCGCAUAAUGCAGCGGCUCGACAUCGAGACAGUUGUUAAAGCGGGGGAUCGCAAGACCUCGCGCCUGAAGAGAAGCCUGCGGCAGAUUAGCUAGUUGGUAAGGUAAUGGCUUACCAAGGCGACGAUCUGUAACCGGCCUGAGAGGGCGGUCGGUCACACUGACACUGACAUACGGGUCAG